AAACUCUAGACAAAGAUAUACACAUAUAUUUGUGGAUGGUGAUAUACUUUAGUCUGGCUACAUACUUCAGGCCCAUACUUCCAUAACUAGACAACUGAUGCAAGUCUAGUUCUUACCUUCCUUUGCAGCUCUUGCGAUGCUUACGAUAUCAGUGACAUUCGGGGUCAACUUGGCAAAAAAAGGAAUCUGAACAGCUUGCCUAACCCAGCGACAGAUGUUCCGUACCAGCUCUGGAUCCUGUUCAAAUAGGUCAGUUAAAUAUAGAACAUAAUUAAAAAAUUGUGAUCAAAAUGUGUACUGGAACAACAGCAAAGUGGAUACGUGCAAGACAAAUCCAACUUGACAAUGAGCUACAUGAUAUAUUUCUCAAUUCUGCCUCAGUAUUACACCUAGACUCAUUAGGGAACUAAGGUUAACACACUUCCAGUGAACUGCAAAUUCAUCACAUAAAGGUUAAAUUCCUCAAGGGAGCCUUUGGAAAAUAAAAUUACAAAGAACCAAAUGGAAAAAAGUGUUUUCCACUACCAGUUAAAUAAUAUCAGGAGUAAAACAUCAACUUCUGGUGGUAAUUUCAGUAAAUAUUACAGAAUUUCCAGCGACCUCAUUGGCCUAAACCUAAUAAAAAAUACUUAAGCUGCUGAUUCCCAGAUGAAUGACAUUACAUCUGAAGCUUAUUGUUUUCAUUAUUAGAAGACUUAGUCUUGAAAUAUAUUCAAAAGAAAAUCUCUGACUUCCUAAUCAAUCUAAUUAUGAUAUAUAGUAUAUGCUAAUACAGAAUAAUUCAGCCUUGGAUUAUACAUGAGCUGAUAAGGAACUUAGUUUACUUUUGUAAAUGUUACCAAGAUCUGUGAAGCACUCUUCAACAUUGAUCUACUUGAAAGAAUUGAUCAAUGACAAAAAUGAAAUAAAAUAUCAAAUGCUCAUUUUUAAAAGCAUGGAAUAGACAUUUUCCUGUGCCUGUUUCCUGUGAUUUUUCAGGCUUCUAUUUUCUCAUGGGACAAGUAUCAUUUAGAGGGCAAUCACCUAUCCUUUCCAUUGAAAAUAACUUAGCUAUGGCAAUGUUCUUUGAUUUCAACACACACAAUAGUCCUUUUUUUAUUACUUUUAGUGCAAAAUUUAUUCUGACAGGUACUGAUAAUGCACUUUGAUAAAUUACCUUAAAAUAUGCAAUAGCAAUUCAUUAUUGAGCUUGGUAAUAUUAUCUUAGCAAGUUAAAAUGUUUUUUGAAUAAAAGAAAAACCCAGAAAAACACAGACAUAUAUUUAAAGUAUGAAACAGCAGGCAAGUAUAUCAUUUGUAAUUAGUAUUUUUAUAUGUAAGAAAGUUGCUCUUUGCAUUUUAACCUUUCAAAUUCUUUUAAGAUGAGAUUUCUAAUGUUAUAACCUUUAGAAAGAACCUUUUCACUUACUUUAAUGUGUCUUGAUUUGUCAUUUUGUAUUACUCUAAAAGUUAUGCGUUUAUGUGCUAAGUAAGAUACAGCAAUGAGGUAAUUUCUGUUGAUUGUUACUGUCUCUAUUCAGCAAAACUCAUAAUUUUAACAAAAAAAUCUGUGAUUUGGUUUGUUCUCUUUCAGAACAGUAAUUUCUUCAUUAAACAUAAAUAUUAAAAAAGCACUAUAUGGAAUGCUCUACAGGGCAUACUGUGCAUUAUGAAUAGUAAAAUCUGGAGACUUAGCUGUACAAAUUCUAACUCAUGAAAAUGGAGAUCUGCCCCUGCCCAUGCAAUGUUCAUGAAAUAUUUAUAACCGCUGCAUUGGCAUUAUGAAGGCAGUUGCAUCUUUGUGACUUUCAUUUUUAAGUUAUGAAUUUCCAUGGGACUUAGCCUAGAAAUGACAGUAACUCUAGAUGAUAUGAAUUGCAUGUCCUUUGUGAAAGCUCUUUUUAAGACAGAAUUUGACAAUAAUUUAAAGAUCACUUGAAUCUCAUAAUACAUGGAAAGUAGCCUGAUAAGAAUUACUGAAACAAAUACAAAAUAUUAUUUGGUUCCAAUAGCGUAAACACUAAUAAUCUGAUACAGACUUCUAAGUGGCUUUCGAUACUAUUGACCACCAUGUCUUUAUAAUUUACUUUCAGCAUCUGUCAUACUUCUUUUUCUGUUCGUUCUUACUGGUUGAAUACUUUAAGCGAAUACGUGGAAUGUCUUUUACACAUUGUUUAACAAUUUGGAAUUUGUUUAAAGUUUUUCAGUGUUUUUUUUUUAAACAUAUGGUCUGCUGGUACCAUUAUUUACUUAAAUCAUCUGUUUUGAGAUACCAUUAUUUGACCCUCCUAUACUUCUAUGAGCAAGGUUCAUGGUGUUAAGAUACUUCUUGUGUUCUCACUCAGCCAAGCCAGCUGCUAAGUAAUUCUCAUACCCAACUAAAACACAAUUUGAUUACCUGGAAAUUUUAAAAACAAUUUCUGCCUUAUAUUAUUGUAAAAAGUAAUGACUGUCAGUAAAUUGAAGUUUUGGCUUGACAGGUGUAACAGGGAAUGUUCUAAUAAAACUACAAGUGUGGUGAGGCUAAUAAUAUGAUAAAAUGAACCUGCACACUUUGGGGAAUUAAAGGACACAUUGUAACUAUUCACACUUUCCUGGUUUCCUCACAAUUUGAUAUUAAAUAUUUGAGAUCUAAAAGCAUAAAUUAAUAGUGUUUCUGCAUCCUGACCUUCUCAUUUUCUAGUGACAACAUCAGAUGGUGUCAUCAAUUAAAGGCAGUUCUAAAAAUCUUAAUUUAGGGGCGCCUGGGUGGCUCAGUCGGUUAAGCAUCCAACUUCAGCUCGGGUCACGAUCUUACAGUUUGUGAGUUCAAGCCCUGCAUUGGGCUCUGUGCUGACAGCUCAGAGCCUGGAGCCUACUUCAGAUUCUGUGUCUGUCCAUCUCUUGGCCCCUCCCCUGGCUAAGCUCUGUGUCUCUCUAUCAAUAAUAAAUAAAUGUUAAAAAAAUUAAAAAAAUAAAUAAAAAUCUCAAAUGCAUAAAUUUUAGACAAUUUCUCAUGCCCUCCCCCCAAAUCUUCAGGAUAGGAAAUACACAAAGGCAUUAUUAUUUCAGACAAUUUGGGACAUUAACAUUAUCCAUACCAACACAAGGAAAGAAAAUCAAACAAUUCUGCACUUCUUUUCUAUUUCUAGGCACAAGGCAUUGCAGACAAAAGAUAGUUGGGUCAAUGAAAGAAGAAUGAAUAAAAACUCAGUACAUUUUCCAAUGAUUUCUUUAUAUAGCCAUCAACAUAUAGACUAUGUCAAGGUUGAAGAAAAACCUGAGUACAUUUUCUGAUAGAUAAUACCUAAAAGUGUGAGAUCCAAGACUUCCUUGCAAAUCUGGGAUAAUUCUGAAGAAAAAUAAUGGAUAAUGAUACAAAAAAAGAACAGCUUAACUGUUAAAACUGCCUGAUCCAGGGGCGCCUGGGUGGCGCAGUCGGUUAAGCGUCCGACUUCAGCCAGGUCACGAUCUCGCGGUCCGGGAGUUCGAGCCCCGCGUCGGGCUCUGGGCUGAUGGCUCGGAGCCUGGAGCCUGUUUGCGAUUCUGUGUCUCCCUCUCUCUCUGCCCCUCCCCCGUUCAUGCUCUGUCUCUCUCUGUCCCAAAAAUAAAUAAACGUUGAAAAAAAAAAUUAAAAAAAAAAUAAAACUGCCUGAUCCAUAAAAAGUCUACCUAGAUCCUCAGGUCUUCAUUGGUUCUUCAUAUUGAUAUGAAUGAUACCCAUCCCUGACCACAAUUUGCAAUCUCUCCCACAGCAACUGUGUGUGUUUGCAUGUAUACUUCCUCAACCCCUAUCAACACCUUUGUUAUUCAUGUGAUCACAAAGAAAACUCUGAGGCAACAGAAUGAAUUUUUCUGUGAUGGAAGUGUGUGAUAAGAGAAGAAAUCACUGAAGCCCUUAAAGGAAUGAGUGAUGAGCCCAGGGAAGCACAUGGUGUUCUUGAGGGGACUGCAUGAGGUGAGAAGCUAACAGCCCAAACCUGUGAAGUGCUGAAGAGAGGAAGAAAGUAUGCUAGAGACAAUUUUGGCCUCUUUGACAACAUUAAUGGGGAGCAGCCCUGUGUCUACGGGCAAUUGAUACAGUCUGGAAUAGAGUCUUAUGAAAACCAAACAACAACUGCAACUAGAAAAUGUAGCACUGAGUAGACUUUGCUGCAGUUGUUUCCACUUAUCAAAAACUGUUUGUAAAGCUUAUUUUCUUUUUUUUUUUAAUUUUUUAAAAGUUUACCUAUUUAUUUUGAGGGGGAAAGAGAGAGAGAGAGCACACGCGCACACAUUUGUGCGAGGGGGAGGGGCAGGGAGAGAAGGAGACAGAGAAUCUCAAGCAGACUCAGUACUGUCAGCGGAGAGCCCCAGGUGUGGCUCAAUGUGGGGCUUCAUCUCAAUAACUGCAAGAUCAUGAUCUGAGCCGAAAUCAAGAGUUGGACGCUUAACCGACUGAGCCCCCCUGGCGAACCUAGAGCUUCAUUUUCUAUCUGGCCCAUAAGAUAGCAAUUUCUAAUUCUUGUGACUUUAAAGCUUAAAAUUUUUUUAAAGCUUACUUUUCUAUCUGAGCUGUAAGAUAAUACUUUUUAAUCUAGUAACUAGCAUGUCUCUAGUUAAAUAUAAAAGGAGUUCUAUAAAUGAUAUACCCUGCUGUGUUUGAGACCCCUAAGAUGACCUCUCCAUUGUAGGACAGGCAUUUCCACCAAUUUCCUAGGGCAUCAAAUCUCAUUGGUUUCAUGCCCUGUACAAAAGAACAAGCAUUAGAGAAUGAGAUUGUGAGAAUGCCUUGAUAAGCUAAAUUACAAGUGAAAUUUUUGACUUUGAGAAACAUUUCUCUCCAAUUUACCUGGUAAUUUUAACUCUGUACAAUUCUUGUCAAAGUGGCUUUCUUAGAAGGUGGUGUUUCAAUGAAUUCACUGAAAAAUUUUACCAGUGAUAAAUGCUUUCCACUAAGGAACUCCUAAGUCUUAAUUCACAUGAAUGCUAGGAAGUAGCUAGCAUUUUUAUUAUGUCCACUUCUCUGACAGAACUAGGGCCCAGAAGAUCAAUCUGAGUAUCUAUUUCACCUUCUUAAUUUUCUUUCCCAUUAUCAUGUCCUAAACCAUCAUCUUCUUUAACAAAAUUGCUCCCUAAAGUGAAAUUCAGCCAUCAAUUGUAAACCAGAACUAUAAAAGGCUUCUACUUCAUUUAUACUUAUAAGAGUAAAUGUAGCUUCAGAGUAAUAGGCAAACUUGAUGUAUUUAUCCUUCUAUGUCAAUAAAAUAGAACAGAAAGAGUUAACUACUCCAGGUAGAAUUAUUACUAAAUGCAAAGAUUGUGCACGGGAAUGGGAUGUUUUAAAUGAACGUAUGGUUUAGUAUGUCUUCUCUUUGAACUGGUUUUCCUGACUUAAGAAUUCUAACAAUGAUACAAUUGCCUUGGAAAAUCAUUUGGUAAUUGCCUAAAAAAGGCAAGCAUGCACAUACAAUCCACCCACUAAAUUCCACUCUUAAUUAUAUAUCCAAGAGACAUGACAGCAGGUCCACACAAAGAUUUGCACAUGACUGUUCAUAGCAACUCUUUCAAAAAAGCUCCAAAUUGGUAACAACCCAAUAUUCAUUAAAAUGUGAAUGAAUACACAAAUAGUUAUAUAUCCACAUGUUAGAAUAUUAUUCAGUAAUAAAAAGAAAUUAAUCUACUGAAUCCUGGAACAAUUUAUAGUUAAUUAAAGAAAAUUAUGUUCAGUUAGAGAAGUACCCAAGAGUUUAAAUGCUGUAUGCUUACAUUUCUAUGAAAUCACACACACACACACACACACACACACACACACACAAAGUAAGCUAAUAGAAAUCAGAGCAAUGGUUGCUGGGAUUAGGGUUAGGGUGCAGGGGAGGGAUUAAGUGGGAAGAGGCAUAAGAAAUUUUUGGAGGGUAAUGGAAACUUUCUAUAACUUGACUAUAAUGUUUACACAGGUGUAGACAUCUGCCGAAACACAUCAAACCCUACACCUAAAUGUGUUCUUUUUAUUAUAGGUAAAUUAUACAGCCACAAAUUUCUUGUAAAAUUAAAAAACAAAAAACAAAAAACAACUCUAGGGGCGCCUGGGUGGCUCAAUCGGUUAAGCGUCAAACUUGUGUUCCGGUCUUGAUCUCGCGGUUCCUGAUUUCAAGCUCCAUGUUGGGUUCUGUGCUGACAGCUCAGAGCCUGAAGCUUGCUUCGGAUUCUUUGUCUCCUUCUCUUUCUGCCCCUUCCCUUCUCUGUGUCUCUCAAAAAUAACUAAACAUUAAAAAAAUUCUAAGGGCAUUUAAAUAUAAAUUAAAUAAAAGGAACGCUGGUGGUAUUCUAGGCAAUGUGGGUUCUAUUUUUUCAACAAAUAUUCAUUGACCACAAGGCAUUGAACUGGUUUGUGCUGGAGAAUAAGAUGAAUGGAACAUGGAAAGCAGAGUCUAGUAGGAAAAAAAAGGCAGACAUAUAAAUGAAAUACAAGCUGGAUGUAAGUAUAAAAAAGGAGAUAUUAAUGCUUUCUCAUUUCAGAUUAUUUCAGAGACUGUAGCACAGGGUUUGGCACAUAAUAGUCUCUCAACAAAUACUGUUGAAUCCAUAGAGCUCACACUGCAUGAAUUAACACUGACUUUCUUAUUGCUACUUACUGAGAAGAAAAUGGAAUAUAAAUUUAUUGGGUCCAGGAUAACCUAAUAAACAAAUGCAUUAUACCCCAUGUUAGACAAUGGUGAUCCAAAAUGUAUAAUAUACUAUCCCUAUUCUUAAAAACAAAACAAAAAAUACUUCAUAAUCUAGGGGGGGGGAAUACAUAAAACAAACAAAUAAUGUGAAUAUAAAAUGUGGUAGUAUAUAUAUAGGCACUGUAUGUGUGUAUAAAACAUUUCAUAUGUAAUAUACAUUCUUUCUUCUCCAUUUGUGCCUUAAGCUGAAGAUGACAUAGAGCUGCUUGUGUGUUCUCUCCUCCCCAGACACAUAAAGCCUUCUCCAUUCUGUUUCUCACUUCAGGCCUCUCUUUCUUGUUAUCUUUUUAUGCAGAAUGUUUCACCUCUUGUCCCUUGGAUAGACACCCCAGGGCAGCCCUCCAUGACCAAUCCUCCCAUCCUACCUCAGUACAGGACAGAUGAGUAAAUGACUCCCUUUUAAACACUUUCAUAACAUUCUUUACUCCUUCAUUUAUCACAAUAUUUAAUCAUCAUCCAUUUAUGUUUUUUUUCUUUCUAAUAGAAUAUUAGUCUUUUAAGGGGUGUAUCCUACUCUUGUAUCUGAUUCCCUAACAUAGAGUCUGAGACACUAAAGACCAUAAACACUGUGUUGAAUUAAAAUAUGAAGAAUUAGGGGUGGCUCAGCCAGUUGAGCCUCCAACUCUUGAUUUUGGCUCAGGUCAUGAUCUCAUGAUUUGUGACAUGGAGCCCUGCGCUGACAGCACAGAGCCCUGCUUGGGUCCCAUGAAUCAUGAGAUUGUGAACUGAGCGGAAAUCAAGAGUCAGAUGCUUAACCAACUGAGCCAUCCAGGAGCCUCUCUUUUUUUAGUCCUUUAAAUGCCAUUUCCUGUGACAGUGUUUAUGCUGUUUCUCCUCCUUUCAGACAGCAUUUCUUUCAUGUCCCAUUCCUUUAAUGUUCCUAGUAUGAGUUCCUAUUACCACAAACUUAGUCUCAGAAGCUUGAAUUUUUAACAAAUGGACAAGAAUUGCCAUAUACUGCUUAGAUAAUUCCCAAUGGCCAAAUAUUCUUUGAGUCUUUCUUUUUAUCCUCUGAUGACCCGCUGAUUCUCUGGCUACCUCUCCACCAGCUCACUUCUUUACUCCCAGUUGGCAGUGCUAAUGGAGAUCAGCUCUUAAAACUUCAAAUUUCAAAUCUUCCCCUCCACAAUUUGUCCCCAGGGAGUCAGAUUCAGAUUUCCUAGGAUUAUCUUGGUCUUACUAGCUAAUCUAAAUUAGAAACCCACCACAUUACAUCACCACGGUAAUGAAGCUGGAAAAGAUGUACUUGCCCAAAAAAUGGGUCAAUGAACAUCUCCUGCCCACAGUUCCAUGUGCUAUUCUAUCAGUGAGUGUCUUAGGGAGACUCUUCCUCACAAUACUAUUGCUAUCUUAUUGUGUAAAUGUCUCAUAUCUCUAUUCCAGGAAUCCCAUAUGAUACCAAAAUACCAAAAAAGGAGAAUAAGGAGGAGGAUGAGGACAUUGGGAAGGGGAAGAGGAAGGGCAGGAAAAGGGGAAGAGGAAGAAGAAGAAGGGGAGAAGGAGGACAAAGAAGGGGAAGAAGAAGAGCUCAGAUUAAUUUAAGGGGUUAACUUUUUGAAUUACUGAAUAAUCACAUAACCUUUCACCAAAACUGAUGUGUGGAUAUGCUCAGGUGACUUAACUAGGAUCUGAAGUGUUCUUACCAAAUACAUGCAGAAGCAGGCAUACACCACUUAUAUCCUCUUCAGGAAAAGACUCAAGCCCAGUCGCCAACAGUGUAGUGAGCUGACAUCCUCUAACUGCUUACACCUUCAGGUUGGCUGCAGGUUUGAAGCUGAGGUCACGCUCCUCAUGAGGAGUCCCCGGCCAACAACAGCAAAGUCAUGGUACAAGGGCUCAGCCAUUUCUAUCCAAGGCAAGAUUCCUCUAGUGCCAAUCUUUGCACUUGAGCUCCCCAUUGGGCUAGCACAGAUUUUUCUCAUACUUCUGUUGGGGUGCGGCUGCUCCCCCUACCCAGUCCUACUUCCUCCCCUUUUCUUUCAUAGGCAUUGUUCCUCAUUAAGCGUUUCAUACUCCUAAUUCCCUCUAUGUCUCUGGUUCCUGGAGGCCUCAACUGAUACACCAACUCCCUACUUGGAUUUGGAAAUCUCCCUGUGAUAGGAUUAGGCUAUAUUCUGAGGAAGUGGAAGAAGAAAACUAAUUUGACCAUAUACCCCAGGGUAUCUCAUUGAGAUAUACUCAAGAAAACUAAGCUGAACCCAAAUAAAUCUCUUAACUCCAAUUUUCCUGGAUGGUCUUUGAAAGAGUCAAGCCUAGUCCAGACAACAGUGGCCGAUACAUGCUUCCAAGUAAAAAAUGACCCUAUAUGAAGAAGCAGGGCUAUUUUUUUUUUUUCUAGAAAAAGACUGCUUUAAGGGACAUGGUAGGGCAUAAUGAUGGGUAUCCUCUGUCUAGACAGUUCAGAAUAUUCUUAAAGAUUAGUUUAAAUACCUACUUUCCAAACCUGUUGAGUUACCACUGUGAUGUGGAACAUUGAGAAUGACUGUGCAGAAGUCCAUGGAUAAAGCAGAUUACACCAUGCGUCUGAAAGCCAGGUCUACCAUCAAGGCAGUAUGGCCAGGUAAAUCCGUGCAUAGACUAAUUCCUACCCUAGUUCCAUGUCUCUUGUUGAUAAAGCCAAUUAAUGACAACCCACUUAAUAACAACAUGAAGAGGUCAUCUGGAAACUUCUUCCAGGUGUGUUGAGUCUCCAAUACCCUAUUCUAAAGUCUGCUUUUGUUUUCAUAAUCCAUUCUGUUUGUCUGAAUUACUGCAUUUCUGCAUUUUAUCCCUUGCCCACUUCUUUCUGGAUUAGACCUCUUUGAGUCUUGACAGCUGCCUGAAUUGACCUGCGGUUGCCCUGUUUGCAUCCAUAAUUGAUCCAGGACUUGUUGAUCACUUAUGGGAUUCACAAUGAUUUUCCUUUGCUUAGGCUGGAUAUUUCCAUUUCAUUUUCUCUUGUAUUAGCUUCUAUCAUCCUCUUUUUCUCCCAAAUCAAGAUUGACACAGGCUCCAUAUGUCUGUCUUCUCAGGCACACAAAUGCUUUACGAGAACAAUACGUUGGCCAUAGUACACAGAAAAUAAGAUACUUUACAAUCUUCUUUAUUAAAGAUUAUUUACUAAAAACCUUAGAAUAUUUUUGAAAAUAGAUUUUUUUAGAAUUAUUUAUACUGACCUCCCCCCCCCCGCCAAAGACCUUGAUCUUUCCUCAUAUAUGAGUUGCUAUUUUUCUGUGGAUUCAAAGGCUAGUAUUAUCUACCAUGCAAAAAGUGAUUGUUCAUAGUUUGUUUAUUAAUGAGGUUAUACAGUGUAACCUGGAAAAUCUUAAUAUAUGGAGAAAUAGGCUAUGCACAUGCUUUGCUGAUACCACCAGUAGGGGUUGAAAAUUGUGGACCAGCUGAGCCAAACUGAAACUCAGCAGGCUUCCCAAUCACUGCUCAGAACACACUAAAAAGACUUCAGUGGGUAAUGAAGUACAGGCAGUUGCCUGCACUACUGUGUAUGGAUUCAUUUUAGAUAAGGGCAAGUGAGUAUUUAAGUGUAUAAUAAGGAGUUUUUAUUCUUUGCAGACUUCAGGCAGCUUGUCAUUUGUUUUCUUAAUGCAAAGCAUUAGUGUAAACAGUGUAACAAUUGAUAUUUUAUACAUCUGUUGGUCUAUUCACUUAGCCUAUGUUUUCCAGUGCUACAGUUAGAAAACAACCACAAGCACAAAACUUCACUAUCUUUAUAAUCCCACAUUGGUGUGAAUGAUUAAGUGACACAGGGAGGAGACUAGUGUAAAACAGCCUUCUGCCCUGAAGCACCCACAAUGCUGAUACAUUUAGGAUGAAGAGAGUCUAGGGAAGUCAUGCUUCUGUCCUGGGAACUUUAUGAAAUCUAAGCAAGAAGGAAUUACUGCUGAGGCAAUUUUAAAUAAUGUAGCGGAGAAAACCUCAAUCCCUUGGCAAUGAAUGGUUUCAGCUAAGGGGAACUCAUCCAUAACAAGUUGGUACAGUUCCUUAAGGGAUUUCUUCCUACGGCUGCUGCAAGAGCUAAAAAGAAAUAUCUAGGCCUUUGUUUGUUUUCCCAGCUCUGUGGACUAAUUUCCCACUUUGAGCUGCAAAGGAUUUGGAGAUAACUAAAAGUGGGGUGACUUCAUUGAAAAGUCUUUGUGUGAAAAUAGGGGAUGAGGAAGAUAUUAAACAUGACCUUUGCAAGUGUGAUAUUUACAAAUUCUUGAUAUAAAAUUCAGGGAUGCUAGAUUUUACCCCAAAUUUUGAGCAAUCAGAACCUAGCUUAAUCAUUACCAAUUUAUUUAUUUAUAAGAGUACAUGGCUUAUAAGAGUAUAUUAUCAUAAGCCGUGUGUAUGUUUGUGUGUGUGUCUGUGUGUGUGUUCUCUGUUUUAAAGUCUUUCUGGUGUUGAGAAAAGGAACCAUGCCAAGGUUCCCACCAUUGUCAGGGGGUUAUAACUAGUGUACAUGGAGAUAUAAGAAAGUAAGUGAAAUGUUUUUGGUAGAGGAAGAGCCAGUCUUCUAGGGUCUGGGAUGCCUUCACUCUCUUGUAGCAUACACAGUAGCUCUGGUGACUCACCAGAGAAGCCAGUGACAAAGAGCAGCUCUUACUUUCUUGUUCCUUUAAGAGUUGCCGUCUAUUGCUUUAAGGAUUAGAAACUCCUUAGUACUAAUAAA
rnacentral:lncRNA from 1 species